AGUGAACGCUGGCGGUAGGCCUAACACAUGCAAGUCGAACGGCAGCACAGUAAGAGCUUGCUCUUACGGGUGGCGAGUGGCGGACGGGUGAGGAAUACAUCGGAAUCUACUUUUUCGUGGGGGAUAACGUAGGGAAACUUACGCUAAUACCGCAUACGACCUACGGGUGAAAGCAGGGGAUCUUCGGACCUUGCGCGAUUGAAUGAGCCGAUGUCGGAUUAGCUAGUUGGCGGGGUAAAGGCCCACCAAGGCGACGAUCCGUAGCUGGUCUGAGAGGAUGAUCGGCCACACUGGAACUGAGACACGGUCCAGACUCCUACGGGAGGCAGCAGUGGGGAAUAUUGGGCAAUGGGCGAGAGCCUAAUCCAGCCAUACCGCGUGGGUGAAGAAGGCGUUCGGGUUGUAAAGCCCUUUUGUUGGGAAAGAAAAGCAGCAGGUUUAUACCCCGCUGUUCUGACGGUACCCAAAGAAUAAGCACCGGCUAACUUCGUG
rnacentral:rRNA from 1 species